rnacentral:rRNA from 1 species
GUGUCAGCCGCCGCGGUAAUACGUAGGGGGCAAGCGUUAUCCGGAAUCAUUGGGCGUAAAGCGCGUGUAGGCGGUUCAGUAAGUCCGCUCUGAAAGCCCAGGGCUCAACCCUGGGAGGCGGGUGGAUACUACUGGACUAGAGUACGGAAGAGGAGAUUGGAAUUCCUGGUGUAGCGGUGAAAUGCGCAGAUAUCAGGAGGAACACCAACAGCGAAGGCAGAUCUCUGGGACGUAACUGACGCUGAGACGCGAAAGCGUGGGGAGCAAACAGGAUUAGAAACCCCAGUAGUCC